rnacentral:siRNA from 1 species
GACGAACGGAAAGACAGUAAUUAA